GCUCAGUUGUACAGCAGGUGAAGCUUGAUACAGAUUGACAGUCGAAUCCCCCCCACCACCACCACCACCACUUUCAUUUAGAAGGAGAGACCCUACGAGCUGCCCCUGACAGUCCUACGGCCCUCUGCUUGCCUAGGUGGAGUGUCCCGGAACGGGGACAGACGCUGUGUCUGUCUGAGGAGCCAUGAGUCUCAGACAGCAAGUCACUCGACACCCUCCACCAAGUUGGGCCCACACCAGUGACAUCCUAAUUGAAGUGACAUGUUGACUGAAACAGUUGUGGGAAACAGAAGGGGCAUUCCGGACACUGUUCCAGCUCGGUGAUAACUACUGAUGGAAUACUAUCUGGGAGUUAAUGAAGACUGAGAUGAACAUUAACCAGGCAACCUCUGUAUCAAAACAAGCCAUUCGAUAGAAGAAUAAUUACAGGAGAUUUUGGUGAUGCCAUGCGGUCAGAGGAGGGCAAGCUGCAGAGCCCAUGAUAAAGAUGUCGAUAUUUCUGAGGAAACAAACCACCAAGUCUGAUAUGGCCCAAGCAGUGGUCACACAUGACCUGAGACUGGAAGCAUCUGAAGGUUGACAUCUUUAUUUAGGGUAAAAGUGCAUAUGAUAAUGGGGCCUCAUCCAAAGCAGACCAACUGACCUCCACAUGAAGUUCAGUAUGCCUAGGCCUUAACUCAGCAAAUGACAAGUGCCGGGUGAGGCCACAUUGUAACCGUUGUUAAUUGCUUUCUGAUUGUGCUCACCAUGAAACGUGUGCUGUAAAAAUAAUUCUGAUUGAUUGAGAAACUGAAUACAAACAUUAGGUGGAAAGAAAAAACCAAGCAAAUCCAGCUCUGAGAUUAAAAAAAAAACCUUCUGCAAAUGGCAUUCUCGCCAUCGUGGGUCAAAAUCAAUACAUUGUGACA